rnacentral:rRNA from 1 species
AGGGUGUAAACGCUGCAGACUUGGUGUUGGGGGCCCUUUGGGGGCAUUCAGUGCCGGAGAGAAGUUGUUAAGUCUGCUACUUGGGGAGUACGUCCGCAAGGAUGAAACUUAAAGAAUUGGCGGGGGGAGGCACCGCAACGGGAGGAGCGUGCGGUUUAAUUGGAUUCAACACCGUAAAACUCACCAGGGAAGACUGUUACAUGAAGGCCGAGAUGAAGACUCUGCUAGAUUUUCAGAGAGGUGGUGCAUGGCGUCAGUGACU